rnacentral:misc_RNA from 1 species
UUAACUAUUACAUAGUACUCAGACGACAUAAUAAAAGAGUUUAGGGUCCUCUGGCAGGCGCGGACCAGCCUAGGCCAGUGGUCAUAAGACGGGCCUGCCAAAGCAACAAAGGUAAUAUAGACAAAGGGUGGGAGAUCUACCCCGGAGGGCAAUUUCUCUGUAAUGAUCCUUCCGCAGGUUCACCUACGGAAA